GGAGACCAGAGCGAUAUGGUACCACCUGAUCCCAUCCCGAACUCAGAAGUGAAACGUAUCAGCGCCGAUGGUAGUGUGGACAUGUUCCAUGUGAGAGUAGGU
rnacentral:rRNA from 1 species